UGCCAGCCGCCGCGGUAACACGGGGGGCGCAAGCGUUAUUCGGAAUUAUUGGGCGUAAAGGGCGCGCAGGCGGUCUUGUCCGUCAGAGGUGAAAUCCCUCGGCUCAACCGAGGAACUGCGCUCCAAACCCCAUGACUAGAGGGAGACAGAGGUAAGCGGAACUGAUGGUGGAGCGGUGAAAUGCGUUGAUAUCAUCAGGAACACCAGUGGCGAAAGCGGCUUACUGGGUCUCUUCUGACGCUGAGACACGAAAGCUAGGGUAGCGAACGGGAUUAGAUA
rnacentral:rRNA from 1 species